rnacentral:rRNA from 1 species
UACAGAGGGUGCGAGCGUUAAUCGCAGUUACUGGGCGUAAAGGGCGCGUAGGCGGCUUGAUAAGGUUGCGGUGAAAGCCCGGGGCUCAACCCCGGGUCGGCCGUGGCAACUGUCGAGCUGGAGCACUGUAGAGGCAGGUGGAAUUCCGGGUGUAGCGGUGGAAUGCGUAGAGAUCCGGAAGAACACCGGUGGCGAAGGCGGCCUGCUGGGCAGUGGCUGACGCUGAGGCGCGACAGCGUGGGGAGCAAACAGG